UACACAGUUUGGAUUUUGUUAUGAGUACGUCAUGCAAGGGGAUCGGCUCCUAGAGGGACUCAGUCAGGCACUCGGCUUCAUUAAAGGGUCACCACUGCGGCCUAAAGCGGACGUCAUUAUUCUUCGCCUGCUUGAAGGUGGUCUCAUCAAUCAUCUGGUAUAUCGUGCGAUGCCCAACAGCUCCCAUUGUCUCGGGCCAAUUAUUCAGGACCUUUCCUCCUCGAAGCUACGUGCUCAGGGCUUGCAGGAUUUUUAUGGAGUGUUCUCUGUUUUUGCUGGUGGACUCUUCAUUGCAGGUAUAAGCUUCUGUGUGGAACUCAUGACGUGUCGCCGAUGUCAUGCCAAGUGUUAAAGAAGUCAUGAGGGACCGCCGUUUGGUGUUUCAAGUCUAUUUCAUAAAACAAUAAAAAGUACCAUUAUGAGAAAUUUAGUUUUCCUCUACACACACACACACACACACACACACACACACACACACACACACACUAAGGCACGGCGAAGCAAAUGGGCGAACCUCUUAUUGUGUAUGUUUCCCCUGUUCACCUAAAUAGCAUAUAGAUACGAAAUGUAAUUUGAGCGGUUAUGGCCUCGCUGUCCCGAUGCGUAGAGUGUGAUGCGAUUUCAUUCUUACCCGAAGAUCGGUUAUGAACCUUCGAGCUCACUCCAUAAUGAGGAAGAAUGGCUGGGUGACCAGCAGUCAAGUAUACUAAAUUUGCUUGGGGUUAUCUCAAUUGGAAGGAUCAUGUCAGUCAAACUAGUCUUAAGUCAUCAAAGGUUGCAAAUGUAUUAUAUGCCAGUAGAGAGAAACAAAAUUUAACUACAGAAGCUAUUAUCAACAUCUACUAACUACACCAUGUAUUAUUCCCGCCUCAUAGACUGUGUUCGGGUAUGCGCAUGGCCAUCUUUUCUAUAUAGAUUACAAAUAACACAUUUUUUUUUUUUACUUAUUUUCCUAAAAACAAAUUGAGUCUAACUAAAAUCAUUAAUCAGGCAAGUGUUUUAAAAUUUUCCUUUACUCAUUUUUUUUGUUAUUAUAAUAAAAACCUUAGUCGAAAUGUAUAAUAGAUAGUGUAGCUCAUACAUGAAGUAGCAAUACUAAUCUUGUUUGCAAAUUAUUUAGAACAAUAUAGAAAAAGUGUA